rnacentral:rRNA from 1 species
UCCUACGGGAGGCAGCAGUCGGGAAUUUUGGGCAAUGGGCGAAAGCCUGACCCAGCAACGCCGCGUGAAGGAUGAAGUCUUUCGGGAUGUAAACUUCGUAAGAAUAGGAAGAAUAAAUGACGGUACUAUUUGUAAGGUCCGGCUAACUACGUGCCAGCAGCCGCGGUAAUACGUAGGGACCAAGCGUUGUUCGGAUUUACUGGGCGUAAAGGGCGCGUAGGCGGCGUGACAAGUCACUUGUGAAAUCUCCGGGCUUAACUCGGAACGGUCAAGUGAUACUGUUGUGCUAGAGUGCAGAAGGGGCAAUCGGAAUUCUUGGUGUAGCGGUGAAAUGCGUAGAUAUCAAGAGGAACACCUGAGGUGAAGACGGGUUGCUGGGCUGACACUGACGCUGAGGCGCGAAAGCUAGGGUAGCAAACGGGAUUAGAUACCCCGGUAGUCCUAGCCCUAAACGAUGAAUACUUGGUGUCUGGAGUUUUAAUUCUCCGGGUGCCGUCGCUAACGUUUUUAGUAUUCCGCCUGGGGAGUACGCACGCAAGUGUGAAACUCAAAGGAAUUGACGGGGACCCGCACAAGCGGUGGAGCAUGUGGUUUAAUUCGACGCAACGCGAAGAACCUUACCUGAACUAGAAUGCGAGGGAAGAUUACCUAAUAGUAAUCGUCGGGCAACCGACCCAAAGCAAGGUGCUGCAUGGCUGUCGUCAGCUCGUGUCGUGAGAUGUUGGGUUAAGUCCCGCAACGAGCGCAACCCUCGUUCUAUGUUGCCAGCACGUGAUGGUGGGGACUCAUAGGAGACUGCCGGGGUCAACUCGGAGGAAGGUGGGGAUGACGUCAAAUCAUCAUGCCCCUUAUGUCUUGGGCUUCACGCAUGCUACAAUGGCCAGUACAAAGGGCUGCGAUACCGCAAGGUGGAGCGAAUCCCAAAAAACUGGUCUCAGUUCGGAUUGGGGUCUGCAACUCGACCCCAUGAAGUCGGAGUCGCUAGUAAUCGCAGAUCAGCAACGCUGCGGUGAAUACGUUCCCGGGCCUUGUACACACCGCCAU